rnacentral:rRNA from 1 species
GUCCACGCCGUAAACGAUGGAGACUAGGUGUAGGCGGAUAGAACCCCGUCUGUGCCGAAGCCAACGCGUUAAGUCUCCCGCCUGGGGAGUACGGCCGCAAGGUUAAAACUCAAAGGAAUUGACGGGGGCCCGCACAAGCAGCGGAGCGUGUGGUUUAAUUCGAUGAUACGCGAAGAACCUUACCUGGGUUUGACAUAAGGGUAGUAGCCGACCGAAAGGAAGGUGACCCUUCGGGGAGCCCUUACAGGUGCUGCAUGGCUGUCGU